rnacentral:rRNA from 1 species
GUCGAGCGGCAGCACGGGGGCACCCUGGUGGCUAAUGGCGAACGGGUGAGUAAUACAUCUGAACGUGUCCUGUAGUGGGGGAUGGCCCGGCAAAGGCCGGAUUAAUACCGCACACGCUCUACGGAGGAAAGGGGGGGAUCUUAGGACCUCCCGCUACAGGGGCGGCCGAUGGCAAAUUAACUAGUUGGUGGGGUAAAGGCCUACCAAGGCAACGAUCUGUACCUGGUCUGAGAGGACGACCAACCACACUGGGACUGAGACACGGCCCAUACUCCUACGGGAGGGAGCAGUGGGGAAUUUUGGACAAUGGGGGCGACCCUGAUCCAGCAAUGCCUCGUGUGUGAAUAAGGCCUUCGGGUUGUAAGGCACUUUUGUCCGGAAAGAAGACGCCUUGGUUAAUACCCGUGGCGGAUGACGGUACCGGAACAAUAAGCACCGGCUAACUACGUGCCAGCAGCCGCGGUAAUACAUACGGUGCAAGCGUUAAUCGGAAUUACUGGGCGUAAAGCGUGCGCAGGCGGUCCGCUAAUACAGAUGUAAAAUCCCCGGGCUGAACCUGGGAACUGCAUUUGUGACUGGCGGGCUAGAGUAUGGCAUAGGGAGGUAGAAUUCCACGUGUAGCAGUGAAAUGCAUACAUAUGUGGAGGAAUACCGAUGGCGAACGCAGCCCCCUGCCCCGAUACUGACUCUCAUGCACGAAAGCGUGGGGAGCAAACAGGAUUAAAUACCCUGGUAGUCCACGCCCUAA